ACAAUGAUGAUGUCACUGAUUCUACUGCUGGCCACCCUGGGGCUCCUUGUUCAGGGUUCAUCAGGACAAAUCAUCCUGACUCAGUCUCCUGGAUCUCAGUCUGUUGUUCCAGGACAGGCUGUCUCUCUCAAAUGUAAAACCAGUGCAAGUGUUACUAGUUCUGGUUACAGCUACCUCAGCUGGUACCUUCAGAAACCUGGAGAAGCUCCUAAACUCCUGAUUUAUCUAGCUACAACUCGUCAGUCUGGAGUUCCAGAUCGUUUUAGUGGAAGUGGAUCUGGGACUGACUUCACUCUGACCAUCAGUGGAGUUCAGGCUGAAGAUUCAGGAGUUUACUACUGUCAGCAGGGUUACAGCUCGUUCACACAGUGAUACAACGUCGUACAAAAACCUCCCUCAGCUGG